rnacentral:rRNA from 1 species
UACGAAGGGGGCUAGCGUUGUUCGGAUUUACUGGGCGUAAAGCGCACGUAGGCGGAUCGUUAAGUCGGGGGUGAAAUCCUGGAGCUCAACUCCAGAACUGCCUUCGAUACUGGCGAUCUAGAGUCCGGAAGAGGUGAGUGGAAUUCCGAGUGUAGAGGUGAAAUUCGUAGAUAUUCGGAGGAACACCAGAAGCGAAGGCGGCUCACUGGCCCGAUACUGACGCUGAGGCGCGAAAGCGUGGGGAGCAAACAGG